GAUGAACGCUAGCUACAGGCUUAACACAUGCAAGUCGAGGGGAAACGAUGAGAGAGCUUGCUCUCUUAGUCGUCGACCGGCGCACGGGUGAGUAACGCGUAUCCAACCUGCCUCUGACCAAGGGAUAACCCGUCGAAAGUCGGACUAAUACCUUAUGCAGUCGUCGGAAGUCAUCUGAUGACGACGAAAGAUUUCAUCGGUGAGAGAUGGGGAUGCGUCUGAUUAGCUUGUUGGCGGGGUAACGGCCCACCAAGGCGACGAUCAGUAGGGGUUCUGAGAGGAAGGUCCCCCACAUUGGAACUGAGACAUGGUCCAAACUCCUACGGGAGGCAGCAGUGAGGAAUAUUGGUCAAUGGGCGUAAGCCUGAACCAGCCAAGUAGCGUGCAGGAUGACGGCCCUAUGGGUUGUAAACUGCUUUUAUGCGGGGAUAAAGUGAGGGACGUGUCCUUCAUUGCAGGUACCGCAUGAAUAAGGACCGGCUAAUUCCGUG
rnacentral:rRNA from 1 species